CCUACGGGGGGCAGCAGUGAGGAAUAUUGGUCAAUGGACGAGAGUCUGAACCAGCCAAGUAGCGUGAAGGAUGACUGCCCUAUGGGUUGUAAACUUCUUUUAUAGAGGAAUAAAACGAGGCACGUGUGCCUUUUUGCAUGUACUUUAUGAAUAAGGAUCGGCUAACUCCGUGCCAGCAGCCGCGGUAAUACGGAGGAUCCGAGCGUUAUCCGGAUUUAUUGGGUUUAAAGGGAGCGUAGAUGGGUUGUUAAGUCAGUUGUGAAAGUUUGCGGCUCAACCGUAAAAUUGCAAUUGAUACUGGCAGUCUUGAGUGCAGGUGAGGUAGGCGGAAUUCGUGGUGUAGCGGUGAAAUGCGUAGAGAUCACGAAGAACCCCGAUUGCGAAGGCAGCUUACUAAACUGUGACUGACAUUGAGGCUCGAAAGUGUGGGUAGCAAACAGGAUUAGAUACCCGAGUAGUC
rnacentral:rRNA from 1 species